rnacentral:rRNA from 1 species
UGGGGAAUUGUUCGCAAUGGGCGCAAGCCUGACGACGCAACGCCGCGUGGAGGACGAAGAUUUUCGGAUCGUAAACUCCUGUCGAGCGGGACGAACAGAUCGCUGGUGAACAGCCGGCGAUCCUGACGGUACCGCUAAAGGAAGCCCCGGCUAACUCCGUGCCAGCAGCCGCGGUAAUACGGGGGGGGCAAGCGUUGUUCGGAAUUACUGGGCGUAAAGGGCUCGUAGGCGGCCAACUAAGUCAGACGUGAAAUCCCUCGGCUCAACCGGGGAACUGCGUCUGAUACUGGAUGGCUUGAAUCCGGGAGAGGGAUGCGGAAUUCCAGGUGUAGCGGUGAAAUGCGUAGAUAUCUGGAGGAACACCGGUGGCGAAGGCGGCAUCCUGGACCGGUAUUGACGCUGAGGAGCGAAAGCCAGGGGAGCAAACGGG